UUGCCUCAGUAACGGCGAGUGAAGCGGCAACAGCUCAAAUUUGAAAUCUGGCUUCGGUCCGAGUUGUAAUUUGUAGAGGAUGCUUCGGCUUACGUACCGGUCUAAGUUCCUUGGAACAGGACGUCACAGAGGGUGAGAAUCCCGUUUGUGGCCGGCACUUCCGCCAUGUGAAGCUCCUUCGACGAGUCGAGUUGUUUGGGAAUGCAGCUCUAAAUGGGAGGUAAAUUUCUUCUAAAGCUAAAUACCGGCCAGAGACCGAUAGCGCACAAGUAGAGUGAUCGAAAGAUGAAAAGCACUUUGGAAAGAGAGUUAAAAAGUACGUGAAAUUGUUGAAAGGGAAGCGCUUGCGACCAGACUUGCCCGCGGAUGCUCAACCGGUCCUUCGGCCGGUGCACUCUUCCGCGGUCAGGCCAGCAUCAGUUCGGGCGGUCGGAUAAAGGCCUUGGGAAUGUGGCUCUCUUCGGGGAGUGUUAUAGCCCUUGGUGCAAUACGGCCCGCCUGGACUGAGGCCCGCGCUUCGGCUAGGAUGCUGGCGUAAUGGUCGUAAGCGGCCCGUCUUGAAACACGGACCAAGGAGUCUAACAUCUAUGCGAGUGUUUGGGUGUCAAACCCGUGCGCGAAAUGAAAGUGAACGGAGGUGGGAACCUUAGGGUGCACCAUCGACCGAUCCUGAUGUCUUCGGAUGGAUUUGAGUAAGAGCAUAGCUGUUGGGACCCGAAAGAUGGUGAACUAUGCCUGAAUAGGGUGAAGCCAGAGGAAACUCUGGUGGAGGCUCGCAGCGGUUCUGACGUGCAAAUCGAUCGUCAAAUUUGGGUAUAGGGGCGAAAGACUAAUC
rnacentral:rRNA from 1 species